rnacentral:rRNA from 1 species
AAAAAGGAACAAGGUCUCCGUAGGUGAACCUGCGGAGGGAUCAUUACACAAAUAUGAAGGCGGGCUGGAACCUCUCGGGGUUACAGCCUUGCUGAAUUAUUCACCCUUGUCUUUUGCGUACUUCUUGUUUCCUUGGUGGGUUCGCCCACCACUAGGACAAACAUAAACCUUUUGUAAUUGCAAUCAGCGUCAGUAACAAAUUAAUAAUUACAACUUUCAACAACGGAUCUCUUGGUUCUGGCAUCGAUGAAGAACGCAGCGAAAUGCGAUAAGUAGUGUGAAUUGCAGAAUUCAGUGAAUCAUCGAAUCUUUGAACGCACAUUGCGCCCUUUGGUAUUCCAAAGGGCAUGCCUGUUCGAGCGUCAUUUGUACCCUCAAGCUUUGCUUGGUGUUGGGCGUCUUGUCUCUAGCUUUGCUGGAGACUCGCCUUAAAGUAAUUGGCAGCCGGCCUACUGGUUUCGGAGCGCAGCACAAGUCGCACUCUCUAUCAGCAAAGGUCUAGCAUCCAUUAAGCCUUUUUUCAACUUUGACCUCGAUCAGGUACGC